rnacentral:rRNA from 1 species
UACGAAGGGGGGCUAGCGUUGCUCGGAAUUACUGGGCGUAAAGGGCGCGUAGGCGGCACUGUUAGUCAGGCGUGAAAGUCCUGGGCUCAACCUGGGAACUGCGCUUGAUACGGCAGAGCUAGAGGAUGGAAGAGGCUCGCGGAAUUCCCAGUGUAGAGGUGAAAUUCGUAGAUAUUGGGAAGAACACCGGUGGCGAAGGCGGCGAGCUGGUCCAUUACUGACGUUCAGGUACGAAAGCGUGGGUAGCAAACAGG